GACGAACGCUGGCGGCGUGCUUAACACAUGCAAGUCGAACGGAAAGGCCCUGCUCUUGCGGGGUGCUCGAGUGGCGAACGGGUGAGUAACACGUGAGUAACCUGCCCCUGACUUUGGGAUAACUUCAGGAAACUGGGGCUAAUACCGGAUAGGAGCUCCUGCUGCAUGGUGGGGGCUGGAAAGUUUCGGCGGUUGGGGAUGGACUCGCGGCUUAUCAGCUUGUUGGUGGGGUAGUGGCUUACCAAGGCUUUGACGGGUAGCCGGCCUGGGAGGGUGACCGGCGACAUUGGGACUGCGGUACGGCCCAGACUGCUACGGGAGGCAGCGGUGGGGAAUAUUGCGCAGUGGGCGGAAGCCUGAUGCAGCAGCGCCGCGUGCGGGAUGACGGCCUUCGGGUUGUAAACCGCUUUCGCCUGUGACGAAGCGUGAGUGACGGUAAUGGGUAAAGAAGCACCGGCUAACUACGUG
rnacentral:rRNA from 1 species